rnacentral:misc_RNA from 1 species
GAGAAAAAUGAAUAAAUAAAUAAAAUAAACAAAAACAAGAUUGAUUCUCAGAAUUAUCUUUGAGAAUACGGACGGGUCUUCCACCGGUAGCAGGAUGCAGCGGAUGAAUUUCAUCAGGGACUUAUUCUGUUGAUAGACGUGCUACGGGAUGACAGUAAAGAAAACAACAUCAAUUCUUGGAACCGCUGUCAUUGCAUUGUAGCUCUGCUUCUUCGCCCACUUAGAGGCAGAAGAACCACGUAUACCACGUGACUCACUCACCACUUACUCCAAUUAUAUCUAAUAAUUCAUGAGUACCAAGUUUUGACGUCUUUUUCAGAAGGGUCCCCGUCAUUCAUAGUCUUUAUUUGCGAGACUUUCGCAAUGCGGCAGUAAAAUCUUAUUGUUCAAUUUACUGGAAGUCUUUUAUUUUGCGCUUCCCAGACAGUUUCGAGUCUCUUUUCCUUCUAUUGUGGCUGGCUGUCAACAUGACAGCAUCGCGUUUCGCCACAUCGAUUCUGACGUAUUUUCUAAUAGUUUGUGCAGCCGCUGCCAGGAAUAAUACAACAUCUUUUCGGAGGAUCAGUAGAGAAUAUAGUGAAAUAACGGCUGUACUAGGCUCAGAAAUCCAUAUUCCGUGCAAUGUAACAGCUUCCCUACCAGAUGAUCAAGUGACGUUGAUAUUGUGGUACAGAGGCGAUUCAGGAAAUCCAAUUUACAGUGUCGACACUCGGCCAAUUCAUGGUGGUGAAUUUCCAAAAAAAUUUGCCAAUAAGCAUUUAGAAGAACGUGCAACUUUUAAUAUAACUAGAACUCAAGCAACUUUAAGCAUAAAACCUGUUAGAGAGAAUGAUGGCGGUGAAUACCGAUGUCGAGUUGAUUUUAGAAGAUCGAGAACAAUGAAUUCUGUUAUGAAAGUAAUCAUAAUAGUACCUCCUAAGAACCUUACAAUUAGAGACAACAAAAACAACACAUUAUCUGGAGUUAUGGGUCCCUAUGAAGAAGGAGCUACUGUUAGUUUCAUUUGUGAAGCAUUUGGAGGUCGCCCGACACCAGUUUUAACAUGGUGGAAAGGAUCUACACUUCUAGAUGAUUCUUACACACCCGUCGGUAGAGGAUUAGUCAAAAAUGAGCUUUUGUUGCUGGACCUUCAAAGAGAAGAUCUACUGACAACGUUAACGUGCCAAGCAUCAAACACUAACCUUACUAUUCCCGUUUCCAGUUCAGUAACAAUUGAUUUGAGUUUAUCGCCUCAAGAAGUUCACAUUCUAACUCCCCGCAGACCUUUAUCUUCCGGCGAGGAAUUGGAAGUUGUUUGCCAUACGUUUGGAUCCAGACCUCCUGCCAAACUAUCCUGGUGGGUUGGGUCAAUGCCAUUAAAUGACCGAGCGAAAGAAACUGUUUCGGGAGAUGGAAAUUCUACUUCAAGUCGGCUGUUAUUCCGUCCAACAAGCGAAGAUCAUGGAAAAUUCUUAGUCUGUAAAGCCCAUAACCCUGAAACACCAGACAGUGCCUUAGACGAUAAAUGGGAGCUGAAUGUGCAUUUUGCUCCACAACUUUCGUUAGCUCUUGGUGCAAGCCAACAGUACGAACACAUACGAGAAGGAAGUGAUGUAUAUUUUGACUGUAAUAUUCAAGCUAAUCCUCCUGUCACAAGUGUCACGUGGACACUCCAGUCUGCUCCCUUAGAACACCAACCAUCAAUGGGAAUAAUUGUGAAAAACCACUCGCUUCUUCUGCAAAAUGUUGGAAGAAGACAUCGUGGGAAGUACCGAUGUAUGGCUGAAAAUGAAGAAGGUGAAGGCGUGAGCGACGAAGCUCUGCUAAUGAUUCAAUUCUCGCCUGUCUGCCUGAGUGGACAAAGACGAGCGUAUGCAGUAGCUAAACACGAAGAAAUCAACGUAACUUGUGAGGUUGAUGCAGAUCCUGAAGAUAUACAGUUUAGGUGGAUGUUUAAUAACACAUCUGAAAUGAUUGAUAUAGUGACAUUUACAUCACUUGCUACACGAAGCAUAGCUUCCUACAUUCCUAGGUCGAAGAUGGAUUACGGCAGCCUUAGUUGUUGGGGAAGAAAUAGUAUAGGAGUGCAAAAGCAGCCUUGCAUGUUCUCUAUUGUUCCGGCUGGCCCCCCUGACCCAAUACAAAAUUGCACAUUGAUGAGUCAAACUUCCAGUAGUUUUAUAGUGAAUUGUAUCCCAGGAAUCGAUGAUGGUGGAGUGAAACCACGGUAUAAUAUAUUAGCUGUAAAUACUCGUUUAGGAGAGGGCUAUAAAAACAUUAGUCUCUCAACUGAGAAACCUUAUUUUGCUUUGAGAGAGUUAGAAUCAGGUACGACUUACCGGUUAUUGAUGUAUUCAUCAAAUAGCAAGGGACGUAGCACAGCAAUUGAAAUGAUGGCGACUACUUUAUUUUCUGCAGAAAGAAGAACAGGAGAUGAACCAACGAUAGCCAUUAGUGCUGUAUUGGCUGUACUAAUGGGUUUAGUUGGUGCUCUUGUCGGUUUGGCGAUAUUAAUAAUUUUAAUUAUGAAAGCAAGAAGUGGAAGUGAAAACUCAGCUGAACAAGAAGAAAGUAAUGAGAAGAUGCAAACAUCAAAGUUGAAGCAUUUUGAAGAUGAUAGUCCUGAUAUUACUCAAGUAUAGCUCCUAACCCGAAUAAUGAGAUCAUCUAUGAAAACGUUGGGCAAAAGGAACACACGUAUGCAAACAUGAUGAGCAGAGUGCAUUUUGAUCAAUAUGAUGAUAUAACAUAUGCAGAACUAGCUCUUCCAGACAGUCAGCAACCUUUUGUGAGACAUCGUUUGGAACCCCCUACGGAGUAUGCAGACAUUGAUUUUCAGAACAGCAGGGGAACUUUUCCAGCGAC